rnacentral:lncRNA from 1 species
CACUCAGCACUCCAGGAGAUGGGGAGCCAGACAACAGAAGAGGGGGGUCUGGUAUGGGGAGGCCUCUAACCCUGCUAUCUGACCAGGCUGGGGUCAGGGGCAAGCAGCACCUGGCCAUGCAGGGAAACUGCCACCUUCAGCUCCAUCUGCCCCAGGUUCCCUAAAAUCAGACUCUGUCAUCGGCAAGUGGAGACUGUAACAGACUGGGACCCUCACAUGCCGAUAAGCAGUCAAGAAUAUUUUCUGGGAGCUGGAGAGAUGGGCUCAGCAGUUAAGAACACUGACUGCUCUUCCGGAGGUCCUGUGUUCAAAUCCCAGCAACCACAGGGUAACUCACAACCAUCUGUAAUGAGAUCUGAUGCCCUCUUCGGGUGUGUCUGAAGACAGCUACAGUGUCCUUACAUAUAAUAAAUAAAUAAAUCUUUUUUUUAAAAGAA